rnacentral:lncRNA from 1 species
CGGUGGCGGCGCGGAGGCAGAAGGCGGUGUCCGAGUAGGGGCCUCUGCCCCACCAGGAUGUUACCCGGCUUGGCCGCCGCCGCGGCCCACAGAUGUAGCUGGUCCUCCCUGUGCCGGCUCCGUCUGCGAUGCAGGGCGGCGGCCUGUAAUCCCAGCGACCGCCAGGAGUGGCAGAAUUUAGUGACAUUUGGAAGCUUUUCAAACAUGGUUCCCUGUAGUCAUCCAUAUAUUGGUACCCUGAGUCAAGUAAAGUUGUACUCCACAAAUGUUCAGAAAGAAGGACAGGGAUCACAAACACUCAGAGUGGAAAAAGUACCAUCAUUUGAAACAGCAGAAGGUAUAGGCACAGAACUCAAAGCUCCACUUAAGCAAGAACCUCUCCAAGUAAGAGUUAAAGCAGUCCUUAAGAAAAGGGAGUAUGGCUCAAAGUACACUCAGAAUAAUUUCAUCACUGGAGUCAGAGCGAUAAAUGAGUUCUGCCUCAAAUCCAGUGAUCUAGAACAACUUCGAAAAAUCAGACGACGAAGUCCCCAUGAAGAUACUGAGUCUUUUACUGUAUACUUGAGAUCAGAUGUGGAAGCAAAAUCUUUGGAAGUUUGGGGAAGCCCUGAAGCUCUUGCCAGAGAGAAAAAAUUGCGUAAGGAAGCAGAAAUAGAAUACAGAGAAAGGCUAUUUAGAAACC